ACCGCCCCCCGCCGUCGGGCCCCGAGCUGCCUAGAUCCGCCACCCGCUCGGUCCGUGCUCCAACCGCUACCACGGCGUCUCGAUCCGUCGCCCCGGCCGCCUCCGAGAUCCAGUCGUCGACGCGGCGCCUCGAUCCGCCGCCGCCAUGCCUCGAUCCGUCGUCACCGUGCCUCCAGCGCCGUCUGCCGCCUGCUCAAGCCGGCGACGUCCGGCGGCUGCUCGGGCUCGACGGGUGGGAGAGCGUCACUGGCGCUUCGAACGGUCACGUGCGUACGUCGAACGCUAGAACCAGACUGUGCCACAUGGCCCAAUGGUAGCACGCGAAAACGGACAAGAUUCAUAUAAUAGAGAUCCCCAAGCACAAGCUCGACCAAAAACAAAACCAUCCGAACUCAACUCUUGCAUUUCCGCCUUAAAUAAUGAAAUGAAAAAAAUGUAAACUCCAGACUGUGACGAGCUGUAACUGUAAGACUGGAAGUCGAGCCAUCAGAAGUCAUAACACAGCAUCUUAAUACAGUUGAUUUAUUAGUUGAUUCUUGGUCCAAUGCUUCGAUCUAGGAGCCCAGGCUUCCCUGGCCCAAAAGAUCUCUUCCAAAACAGCCCAUAUCAAGAGACUCCAGCCCAGUUUCAGUUAUGAUAGCCCACUUGGCCCUUGGUUUUUAUUAUUUUACAGUAGAAUAAGUUCAUUUGAGAUCCCUAACUUAAAUAUCGAGUUUGAUUUUUAUCCUUGAACUACCCUAUCAGAUACAAGAGGUCUCUCAACUAUCAAAUUAGUAUAAAAUAAGUUCUAAUGCGGUUUGGAUGACGGUUUCAGCUAACGUGGCGCCUAUGUGGCUGGUUUGACUCAAUCCUAUGUCACAUCAAUGCCACAUUGCCACUUUGGAAUGAGUACCGAGUAAAACCAGCCACGUAGGCGUCACGUUAACCUAAACCACCAUCCAAACUGUCUUAGGACUUAUUUUACACCAAUUUUAAUAGUUGAGGCACCUAUUGUAUCUGGUUAGAAAACAAAAAUCAGACUCGUUGAUAAAAUAAAG
rnacentral:lncRNA from 1 species